rnacentral:lncRNA from 1 species
GACAAGCUCCCUACACUGGGUCAAAUCUUGAGUACCCUGAAUGGCUAUUCUAUAAGUACUUGGGAGUGUAACAUGUGACAGCAGAUUAGGACCCACAGGGGUUUAGAAGUCAUUGUUUCACGAGAAAACGGAGGUUCAAAGUGAUUUGCACAAGAUGAUAAGGCUGGCUGGUGACCAACAGGGACCAUAACUCAUGACUCGGAGUCUGGGUCAGAGCACCCUUCUGCUCCUAUGGUGGCCCCAAAUCCUGGAUGGCUCUGAUUUCCAGAGGAGGCUCUGAUUGCCAGCUUUCUGCCCUUUCCACUGUCAGAGUACUUGGAUGUGACAGUUUCCCCACCCCAGUUUGGGACUUAGCAGGAAUUACGGUCACACUGCCUGUGUAUCCUGGGGCGUCCCCAUUGGCCAUCUGUCUCGGUGUAAGAGCUGACUCUUCCUUUUCCUUUCUGAGACCUUACUUGAGAUAGUUAAUAACCUUGGGCCUUGUAGAAAUUGCAAUCGCUCUUAAAAGAAGUGUAAAAUUGGUAUUAAUAUUUAAUUCCUACAAUUUGGAAGAACUUGAAACUGCAAUUAGAUGGCAGUGCCUGUCAGCUUCCAGCAGGCGGGCAUGCUCUUGUUAGAUCCCUCAGAGGCUGCAGAGGGCCGCCCAUCACCUUCGCAUGUGUUCCUUAACAAUGUGCUCACAGUCUCUCAAGAGGGAGCUCCAGAUGGUGAAGGAAACUCUGCAGGCCAUGAUCCUGCAGCUCCAGCCAGCAAAGGAGGCAGGAGAAAGAGAGGCUGCAGCUUCCUGUGUGACAGCUGGUGUCUGGGAAGCACAGGCCUGAGGCAUGACAGGAUAGGGGAAGGAGGAAAGAGCGCAGCUCCUGCCUCCGUUAGGAUCUAUGCACAUGAGACAAUUUUUGCCACUUCCUGAAGUCACACUGUCAUUUUCAGAAGGCAGCUGGUGCUUUGCUGGGGCUCCCGUGCUGUGCAGAGCUGCUGUCCUCAGUCAAGGAGAUGCCCUGGCUCACGCCAGCCAUUGGCCACGGUUCAGGGAACAGAGCAAAGCACAGUGUUUGAAUUUGCUCAUUGUCAAUUUGCUGGUUGUGUUCUCUACAGUUUUAUCUUCAGCAUUUUUGAAAAUAUAUGAUACAUAUUUUAAUAAGUAUAAUCGGUUUGUUCCAGGAAUUCUUGGUUUUUUGAUGAUGGACCAAAUUCCUGAAUUAUUUAUAACUAUAGCUAAAAAUUAUUAUGUACUCAUCACAUGGCACUUGAAAUCCUUGAAUCUUUAAAUUGAUUCCAGUAAAGCAAAACUUGGGAAGAGUCAGAACUGCCCGUAUUGUCCAUAAGGAAUCCGUAGUUUGACGUGCGUCAUUUUAAAAAGCCUCCCAGAUGGAAGGCAUGUUCACAGUCACUGCCCCAAGUGUUUUGUGUUACUCAGGCAUCAUCAUGAAUAAUUCUGUGAGGUCCUGAUGUAUUUGAAAAGCCUGGAAGCUGAUAACUGCUCUGAGUGGCCCCCCAAAUAAGGGUUCUCUGGGACCCUCAGUGGACAAUGUGUUCCUUUCCUUGUUGAGAGGCCUGACCAAGUUUAAGUACUGGGGCAGGUGAAUGAUGCUUUAACCAUGUGCUGCAACUCAUCUCUAGCCUUUGCUGGUGUCUGAGUCAGUCAGGAAGCUUGCUAAAGGCCAGGGGUCCUCCGCUGGCCACACAGCUGUCUCAGGACAAACCCCCUCUUUGGCCACUGUGACCACAGAAGACCCAGGACCAUUUACCUCAAACAAUAAUACAGGGCAGUUUUUGUGAGGGCAACAUAAAAAGAAAUUAAGGCUUGAGUUUAAAAGCAACAAGACAACAACAAUUACAGUUUAAACUUUUAUGGAGACAGUCAAGACCACAAGCCAAAGGGCAGAUUGAAAGUGGUGACUUCGAUGCUCAUCUGCCUGUGCCACAGUGUGAGAGAAUAAAUGAUACAUUACAUGGCCCCGCGUGCUGAGACGCUGACGUUGAAAUGGCUGCCGGUUUAUCUUUCAGCAGCCCGAGUUGGGGCACCUUCUCAGUCUGUAACAGCCUCAGUUCCUUCCAACUUCCUGAAAUUUCAAGAUCAAAAUGAUCCUUCCCCAAAUCAUAUGAAUAUAAGAAAGUUUUCUUCCUCUGCCAUCGGGGUGGUCUGCCCAUCCGGGGAACAUGUAAGGGCUCGUGUGUAUGUGCUGGGAUGUCCUAAGACCUUUAAAGUCAUUAUCACCGUUAAUUCUUAUAGCAACCUUAGGAUGUGGGUGUUUGUAGAUGGCCAAACUGAGCCUUAGGAAACUAAUUAACUUCCUCAAGGCACAGAGCUGGUAAGCAGUGAAGCAACAGUAGCACUUGGAGAUAGGUAGAACGCUCGUAACUGGUGUUCUUUCUAAAGUGCCUUUAAUGUCUUUUUGGGACUUUGAGCCAUGGAACUUACUAGUUCACUUAAGAACUCGUGGUCGCCUUGGGAGUCCUUCCUGGAGAGUCAGAGAAACUGAGCCUCGGGAAUCUUGACUUCCCACUGCCGGAGGUGAGCCCCACUGUCCCGCGGCCGUCAAGGAUGGGCUCAGACAGGCUGAAGCCCACCUGCCCACCCACCACUGUCCCAACCAACCAUUCACUCCCAAUCCACCACAACAGCCUUGCCAGGAGCAACCACUUACUGCCUAACUGCGGGGCACGUUUUCUUGAAAAUCCCCAUCCAACUGGUGUUUUUCAGAAAGCAUUCGAGAGAGCAACCUAGCACUCAUUGGUCAAUGCCUUUUUGUCUAAGUGACUCGAUACUUUUAUUUUUAACAUCCUCACCUUGUCUAAUCUUUGAAUUUUGUCAUAUAAUUUAUUGCUUCAUGAAGUUUACUUUUUGUUACAUGAAAUUAAAACUGAUAUUCAAGCAUGGUGCACCUUUAACAUUUUUUUUUUUUGUCUUCUGGGGUAUGGAUGAUAGAAAAACUUAUCAGGUUUAUUCAUCCCAUGUUUUUGUUACAGGAUGAUUAACUGGACAAUUGCUUACUUCACACAAAACGUUCCUAAUCAAGCAAUGCUUUAAAAUUGUGUAUGUGUUUACUUUCAGAUAUCAACCAAUCAGAAAACAAUAGAACUAAAGUGAGGAACAGGACAAAGCUGCCACCAAUAUCACUGGUAAUGCUUUACUGGAGAUACUGGCUCAUUCAGUUAGGCAAGAAAAAUAAAUGAGGGCUAUAAUUUGGAAAGGAGGAGAUACAACAUUAAUAUCUACAGAUGGCGUAAUGAUAAGCUAGAAAACCUAAGACAAUUAAGAGAAAAAGUUUUACACAAUUAAUACAAUUAAUAUACCAAAAUCAACAGGCUUUACAUAUCUAAACAAUAAUUGGAAGAUAAAGUAUAAGAAAAAGACUCUAUUUUCAAUAGCAACAAAAAUAAAGAGAAAACAGCUAGGAAUAAAAUUAAAUAAGAAAUGUGUAAGUCUUAGAUGAAGGAAAUUUUAAGGUGGACGUAAGAGGAGAACUGAAUAACUAGACACAUUAAACUUUCGGAGAGGAAGUCAUCAUAAACUGUCAACUCUUUGUAAAUGACAUGACAUAAAUAUUCCCUCGUCCCUGCUGAGUCAUAGAUAUCUGGAUAUCCUCAAUAUCCACUCUCUGUUUCAUCCCUCUAGCAAUUCCUCACCUAGGCACUUAAACUACAGGUGGAUACACACAUGUGCAGAAUUGUACAUUUGUACCGUUAAAUUAAUUAAACAAGGAGGCCUUUAGACAGAGGUGGCUCUAACACCGUGGAGGCCGAUAGAAGCAAAUUAAAACCUAAGCCCAUGAAUGCUUCAAGGUUAGGAAAUCGAAACAAGGACAAUCAGUCACAAACAGCCCACUAGGCUUUAAGCCACAACCAAUCAAUAAUGAACGUCCUUGCUUGGCUUCCGCCUUUCUUCUGUAAAUGUCUCCUCGAGCUGCUGUCAGGGGAGCGCUCCUAACCACUUCCGGUUUGAUGCUGCCUGAUUCGAACUGAUUUUUACUCAAACAAACUCUUAAACAGUUUAAUAUGCCUCAGCUUAUUUUUUAACAGGACCAUUAUUUGUAAAAGCAAAAAUGAGAAACCACCUACAUUUUCAUCAAUAGUAAACUGUUUAAAUAAAUUAUGGUACAUCUACACUAUGGAAUGCUUUGAAUUUCCAAAAAAUCUUUCAACACAUGUAUGCUUGUAUCUACAGAGAUAUCACUGGAAAGGGACCCGGUGGCUUAGGAAAAGGGGACAGGAAGGAGACUUAUUUUUCCUACAUACUGUUCUUCUUUUAAAAAUUUUCUACCAAUUGCUUAUAUCUACUUAUUCAAAAAAUGAUUUCUUUAAGAAAACACCAUAAUUGUGGAGAUUGAGAGUGGGCCCUUGGGUAGAGGGGGCACACAGGCCGAGUCCCCUGGUGCUGGCACAGAAUUCGUCCACUCCAGCAUCCACUCUGUGCCCAGCACAGUGCUAGAGAGCAUGCCAGGUCCUGGUGAUAAAAGAUGACUGUGACCAUUUUGUGAUCCAAUGAUUUGAAGGAAAGUAAGUACCAUUGUCAUUGUAAUUAUUAUCAUUUUGAAGACGAGAAAUGAAUUUUGUUUUGACACUUUAACUAUGUUGGGUGGUUUAAUACCCAAAAUCAACCCACUCAGGAAUCCCAGUUCUCCUCUGGGUUGGGCAGUUUCGUAAAGCCUCCUUUCUUGGAACCCUGGACCAGAGGGACCCAUGUGUUGUGUCGGUUGUGUGGGCAGAGUGGGGAGUGGGGGCAUGGAGUCACAUCGGUUCCCCACUGUCCCUUAGGAGCUACUUAUGCAAUGAGUGUUUUAUUCAAAUAGAUAUGCUUUUAAAUGUACACCUGACACACACUUCCACGCUGUAGAGAGGAAGUUAUGACAGACACCAGAGUGAGGACAGUCCAGAAAAUAUCUUUGCCUCCCUCAUUACAAGAACACAAAAGAACUUCGUGACUCUGCCUCUCCCUUCCUCAAGAGUUUGAAAAAAGUCUGUUAGAAACGAGGUGCAUGUCCCUCACAGGAGUAUGAUCUCUUCCUAUUGCCUAUGCAUUCAUUCACUCAGAAACGUUUAUUGAACGCCUACUAUAAAAAUUACUCUUCCUAUAGAUGGAUGAAUUUACAACCACAGAGGUUAAAAAGCUUACUAAUGAAAAUGCUGAGUGUUAACUUGCAGGAAUCUUGACUUUAAAUUGAUAUGAUACAUUAUUAGACUACACACAUGCACAUACAGACACACAGGCACACAAUGGCAGUUCGGUUAAUACUGAGCAACAGUUAUUUAUUAUUUUGUGUUUUCUAUUUGAUUUUUAUUUGUGAGGACAACAUUUAAAAGAAAUUGUUUAAAAAUAUUCAUGUAUAACUCACUAUCUUUAUCUUUUCAAUCUUUGUCCUUACAAAAACAUAUUUUCACCAAACUAUAGCCAGUGUAUUUUUUCUUCUUCUUUUAAUAUUUAAUAUUAUAGUCUUUCCAUCUUGUUAUAUAAUUGUUAUAACCCUUGUAUUUAUUGCUACAUAAUAUUCUAUCAAAUUGAUCUAGCAUAACUUAGAUAUUCCUAUGUAAUUGGGCAUUAAAUCUUUCAAUAUUUUGCUGUUAUAGAUAAAGCUGCAAUGACAUCUCCAUACACAUAGCUUUUUCUUCCCUUUGACUUAUGUCCCCAGCAGAAAUUCCCAGGAGUGAGAAUACUAGGACAAAGGAGAAAGGAAAAGUGGCGGUUCCUGAUUACUGAGAGCUCCAGAGUGAACUCACAGGGGUUCUAAAGCACUUUCUUCCUUUACCCACACUGGAUGGGGGCAUUUAUCUCCACGUUCAGUGGGGGCUCCAGCUCUCAGCAGGACAACAGCAUCUGUAACAACCACACAGCUGGGGACACUGGGAACAGAGCCUUUACUCUGCUUUCGUAUAAGCCUUUAGUAAAUAAAAAGCCCAUGCCACAGUCUUUCUUCCCCGGGAUGGAAGCGUCUGAUGCUUUGUGUGGGCCCAGAGAGUUCCAUCCUUUACAAGCAGGACGAGUAAGAACUUCCUGACGGAGGAACAGGAGGAGAACUGGAGAUAAUACACACUGAACUUGAUAAUACACGCUGUGGGGAAGACGCUUGUGGAGGUAUGAAGAGGAUGUUUAAAAAAAUGAAAAUGACAAGAAAACAACGCACUCUCAGAAAAUACAGGAGAUGCUAAAAAAAUAAUCGCGAGGUCCGAGGGAGGCAAAUGACGUGUUGCAACCUAUGAAAAAUAAAAAGAAAAUGGAAAAGACCUUUGUGCAAUGGCCAGUACUACACAAUGCACAGAAAACAAUCUCUGAUUUAUUACUUUUGACACAAAGAAAGUCAGAAAAGCAGAGGGCAUGCGCCAAGUGGUGUCCUGCUAAGUGGGGUUUUCACUUUGAAGGGCAAGCGUAGAAAGGCGUGUCUCCCAGGGGAGGAGCUGGCAAUUACCAUGGAGACCUUAACCUCGAGGGAAUGGAGCACUGAACGGAGUAAGGCAUCUGGAUAUUUUAUGCUAGAAAGAUCCUGA